GCACCUAUUGGUCCCAGGUGAAAUGGUGUC
rnacentral:piRNA from 1 species